rnacentral:rRNA from 1 species
AUGGCGUCUUCCAACUCCGGGGGCAUCCCCAUCAAGGCCGAACAGGAUUCGGAUGGCUCGGCCCAGAGCACAGCUGACAUGACUGCUUUUGUGCAAAAUCUUCUAGUUCAGAUGGUUCCAAACCAUGUCAGAGAACAUCAUCACGAAGAAUAUCCUUAUAAAUCAGAUGAAAUGGGUGCAAGAAUUGAUGAAUUGGAGCUGAGCAUCAAUGACCUCAAGGCUGAAAUGGGCAGCGAUGGUAUGACCCCUACUAAAGUGAAGGACGAAGAAUCAAAGCCAGCAGACAGCUCUUCCUGA